AUGGCUUCAAGACAACCAGAAGUGCCUGCUCUUGAGGCUAGUGGGCCUCUAGGCAAGAUGUUCCUGCCCACCAGGAUAUACCGUUGGGCAUCCAGCUACGAUGAUGCCCUCAAGGACCCUGCGCCCAUGACUCUUCCUCCACUGGACAUGAGCAGUGUCCCCUAGAAGCCAGUGAUUCCAGAGCACAAUAUCAGUGCAUCACCAAGGUGGAGGAAGAUGAGGCCAGCCUACCCUCCCCAGCCAUGACCCUGUCAUCGGCCAUUGACAGUGUGGACAAGGUCCCAGUGGUGAAGGCUAAGCUACACAUGUCAUCAUGAAUUAUCGGAUCACAAAACAGACCCAGGAAAGUAUUCAGCAUUUUGGGUGACAGGCAGGGCUGAGAGAUGCUGGCUACACACCCCACAGGGGCCUCACCACCGAGGAGACCAAGUACCUUCCAGUGGCAGGAGCACUCCACAAACUAAAGCUACAGAGUAGAGAGAUAACAAAAGAAUAGAGGCAGCCUGCAUCAGCCCGGUCACCCCAAGCUCCACUCCUCAUUCUUCCCCUAAGCAGAAGCCCAGAGGCUGGCUCACUUCUGGUUCUUCCACAGCUUUACCUGGCCCAAAUCCUAGCACCAUGGAUUCUGAAAGUGGGGAUAAAGACAGAAACUUGUCAGGUAAGUGGAGCCUCUUUGGACCAAGAUGCCUUCAGAAGUUUGAUUCUGGAAGUUUUGCCACCCAGGCCUACCAAGGAGCCUAGAAGCCUUCUCCAAUGGAAUUGAUCCAUGCCCAGGCCAGCUGAAUGGCUGAAGAUCCAGUAACCUUGAAGCUGCCCAAGAUGAACAUCCUAGUGAUGGAAGGGAAGAAACAGCCACCAUGGACCCAUAAGCUCAAACCACCUGACUUGAAUGUGCUCACACCCACUGGCUUCUAG
rnacentral:lncRNA from 1 species